AUCCGGAAUCAUUGGGCGUAAAGCGCCUGUAGGUUGUUUAAUAAGUCCGUUGUUAAAGACUAGGGCUUAACCCUAGGAAAGCGAUGGAAACUGAUAGACUUGAGUAUGGCAGGGGUAGAGGGAAUUUCUAGUGUAGCGGUGAAAUGCGUAGAUAUUAGAAAGAACACCGGUGGCGAAAGCGCUCUACUGGACCAUUACUGACACUGAGAGGCGAAAGCUAGGGGAGCGAAAGGGAUUAGAUACCCCUGUAGUCCUAGCCGUAAACGAUGGAUACUAGAUGUUGUGCAAUUUGGACAGUAUCGUAGCUAACGCGUUAAGUAUCCCGCCUGGGGAGUACGCUCGCAAGGGUGAAACUCAAAGGAAUUGACGGGGGCCCGCACAAGCGGUGGAGCAUGUGGUUUAAUUCGAUGCAACGCGAAGAACCUUACCAGGGCUUGACAUACUACAGAUCUUUUUGAGAAAGAAGAGUGCCUUCGGGAAUGUAGAUACAGGUGGUGCAUGGCUGUCGUCAGCUCGUGUCGUGAGAUGUUGGGUUAAGUCCCGCAACGAGCGCAACCCUCGUUUUUAGUUGCCAAUUUAUUGGGAUCUCUAGAAAGACUGCCGGUGACAAACCGGAGGAAGGUGAGGAUGACGUCAAGUCAGCAUGCCCCUUAUGUCCUGGGCCACACACGUGCUACAAUGGUAAAGACAAAGAGUCGCCAAUUCGCGAGAAUGAGCUAAUCUCAUAAACUUUAUCUAAGUUCGGAUUGUAGGCUGCAACUCGCCUACAUGAAGUUGGAAU
rnacentral:rRNA from 1 species